rnacentral:rRNA from 1 species
UUAGGAAUAUUCGUCAAUGGGGGAAACCCUGAACGAGCAAUGCCGCGUGAGUGAUGACGGUCCUUUGGAUUGUAAAACUCUGUUGUUAGGGAAGAACGACCUGUAUAGGAAAUGAUACAGGAGUGACGGUACCUUUCAAGAAAGCUCCGGCUAACUACGUGCCAGCAGCCGCGGUAAUACGUAGGGAGCGAGCGUUAUCCGGAUUUAUUGGGUGUAAAGCGUGUGUAGGCGGUUUAUUAAGUCUGAGGUUUAAUCCCGGAGCUUAACUCCGGUUCGCCUCAGAAACUGAUUUACUUGAGUAUGGUAGAGGCAAGUGGAAUUUCUAGUGUAGCGGUAAAAUGCGUAGAUAUUAGAAGGAACACCAGUGGCGAAGGCGACUUGCUGGGCCAUCACUGACGCUGAGACACGAAAGCGUGGGGAGCAAAUAGGAUUAGAUACCCUGGUAGU